AACUUCCCGGAAACGAAAGUACUUCCGGUUCCGGGGGAAGUAUGGUUGCAAAGCUGAAACUUAAAGGAAUUGACGGAAGGGCACCACCAGGAGUGGAGCUUGCGGCUUAAUUUGACUCAACACGGGGAAACUCACCCGGCCCGGACACCGUAAGGAUUGACAGAUUGAGAGCUCUUUCUUGAUUCGGUGGUUGGUGGUGCAUGGCCGUUCUUAGUUGGUGGAGCGAUUUGUCUGGUUUAUUCCGAUAACGAACGAGACUCUGGCCUACUAACUAGUGACUGGAUUAUUGCUGUCCAGGUUACUUCUUAGAGGGACAAGUGGUGUUCAGCCACACGAAAUUGAGCAAUAACAGGUCUGUGAUGCCCUUAGAUGUCCGGGGCUGCACGCGUGCUACACUGGAGGAAACAGCAUGCAAAACCAUUGCCGAAGGGCAUUGGUAAACCCGAGAAAAUCUUCCGUGAUCGGGAUCGGGAAUUGCAAUUAUUUCCCUUGAACGAGGAAUUCCCAGUAAGUGUGGGUCAUCAGCUCGCGUUGAUUACGUCCCUG
rnacentral:rRNA from 1 species